rnacentral:rRNA from 1 species
AAAGGGCUGCAGUAAUUUGACUGUACAAAGGUAGCAUAAUCAGUAGCCUUUUAAUUGAUGGCUUGUAUGAAAGAUUGAAUGAGAUAUAUACUGUCUCUUAUUUAUAUAAAGAAUUUAAUUUUUUGAUUAAAAAGUCAAAAUAUAUUUAAAAGACGAGAAGACCCUAUAGAGUUUUAUAUUUAAAUUUAUUGAGGUUAUUUUUUAGAUUUAUAUUAAAAUAGAUUAAAAUAUUUUAUUGGGGUGAUAAAAAAAUAUAAGUAACUUUUGAUUAUAUAAUUUCAUUAAUAUAUGAAUAAAAGAUCCAAAAUUUUUGAUUAUAAGAAAAAAUUACCUUAGGGAUAACAGCGUAAUUUUUUUUUUUAGUACAAAUAAAAAAAAGAGUUUGCGACCUCGAUGUUGGAUUAAGAUAAAAUUUAUAUGCAAAAGUAUAAAA